rnacentral:rRNA from 1 species
GUCUACAGCCAUGCCACCCUGAACAAGCCCGAUGUCUGAUCUCGGAAGCUAAGCAGGGUUUGGCCUGGUUAGUACUUGGAUGGGAGACUGCCUAGGAAGACCAGGUGCUGUAGGCA